rnacentral:rRNA from 1 species
GACGAACGCUGGCGGCGUGCUUAACACAUGCAAGUCGAACGGAAAGGCCCUGCUUUUGUGGGGUGCUCGAGUGGCGAACGGGUGAGUAACACGUGAGUAACCUGCCCUUGACUUUGGGAUAACUUCAGGAAACUGGGGCUAAUACCGGAUAGGUGCUCCUGCUGCAUGGUGGGGGUUGGAUAGUUUCGGCGGUUGGGGAUGUACUCGCGGCUUAUCAGCUUGUUUGUGGGGUAGUGGCUUACCAAGGCUUUGACGGGUAGCCGGCCUGAGCGGGUGACCGGCGACAUUGGGACUGAGAUACGGCCCAGACUACUACGGGAGGCAGCAGUGGGGAAUAUUGCACAAUGGGCGGAAGCAUGAUGCAGCAAAGCCGCGUGCGGGAUGACGGCCUUCGGGUUGUAAACCGAUUUCGCAUGUGACGAAGAGUGAGUGACGGUAAUGGGUAAAGAAGCACCGGCUAACUACGUG